rnacentral:rRNA from 1 species
CACGGGGUUGCGAGCGUUGUCCGGAAUUACUAGGCGUAAAGGGCAGGCAGGCGGAUCCAUAAGUUUAUCGUUUAAGGCGUCGGCUUAACCGGCGUAGGGCGGUAGAUACUGUGGAUCUGGAAUGCGGUUGGGGAAGACAGAAUUCCUUGUGUAGCGGUGGAAUGCGCAGAGAUCAGGAGGAAUACCGAAGGCGGAGGCAGUCUUCCAAGCCGUUAUUGACGCUCAACUGCGAAGGUGUGGGUAUCAAACAGGAUUAGAUACCCGUCCCUCGAGCGGG